GGGCCAUUAGCUCAGUUGGCAGAGCACCUGACUUUUAAUCAGGGAGUCGCGCGUUCGAGUCGCGCAUGGCCCACCA
rnacentral:tRNA from 2 species